rnacentral:rRNA from 1 species
CAGAUCACGUGAAAUUUCAAUAGUCGAACAGACUAAAUCCUAGAGCUCCUUCACCCAAAAUUAAUUUCAAUUCAACAUCGAGGUCACAAUCUUAAUUAUUAAUAAGAACUCUCUAAUUAAAUUAUGCUGUUAUCCCUAAAGUAACUUAUUUUAAAUUCAAUAAUUCCUCUAACAAAAAUUCUUAUCUUCGUCUAUUGCCCCAAUAAAAACUUAUAAAAGUAAAAGCUUUUAGGGUCUUCUCGUCCCUAAAAUUUAUAAAAGCAUUUUUACCUUUAAAUAAAAUUCAAUUUAUAUAUAAUAAAACUAUCCCCUAAAAUCACUACCUUUCAUUCCAGUUUUCAAUUAAAAAA